rnacentral:lncRNA from 1 species
AUUGACUGUACUCUAGCUAUUUGAAAUCAAUUAUCAAACUACAAAACACGAAGGCUUAUUACUUCCAUCUUAAUUCAAACCAUAAUCCAUUCUAUAACUAUCAAUUCAACUAUACUUCCAUAUUCUUAUCCGUUCAUGUGCCACUUACUUACUUUGUGGUUCAUAUAUAUUCAAUUACUGAUCUCCAGCUUACCUAUUGUAUUCAAUUUUUUAAUUCAUCACACAGAAUUCAAUAUCUUGGCUUACGACUCUCACAGUUUGGCUCUCCAGACUAACUUCUCAGUAU